ensembl:lncRNA
AUUUGCCUGUGAAUCCAUUUUUUCACCACCCAUUGUUUCCCCAAUGAAGUCUUCUCCUUCUCACUGAAAGGCUUCUGCGAUCUGAGCUUCCUGAAGGAACAUUUCAGAGAACAUGUACCAUCUACAGACCAGAUUCACACUUCUCUGAUCACCACUCACUCCUCUUGACAAAUAAAAGGUUUUGGCACGUCAACAAAACCAUCAAAAGGAAGCAACUCAGGAUAUGGUAGACCUUCUGGGCUGCAAGUGCACAUUGCUUGCUCAUGUUGAGGUUUUCAUCAACGAACACCCCCAAAUCCUUCUCCUUAGGGCUGCUCUCAAGCCAUUCUCUGCCCAGCCUGUAUUUUUCUUGGCUGUGAAAUUUUGUGAGCAAAGUUGUCUCAAAGCUUCUCAGCAGGUAAAUGACAACUCAAUCUAGUCACCCCAGCAAUAAUAAGAAAAGAAGAGCUCUUCACCACACAGCCUCAUCAUCCUGGCUGCUGGAGCAGCCCAAAGCUCAUGCUGUGGCUGCCGAGCUGUUAUGCAGCACACUCAGCUCCAUUGUGUAUCCUCCUGCCAAGAGUCAGGAGUGUAAAAAGGGUACGUUAAUGCAGAUUUGAAGGCUUGGUUGGCCCUGUUCCUUCUUUCUCCUUGGAAAACCCCCAUUGCAUUCAAUCUUUGCAAUUUAGAACAAAGUUAAAUAAAGCUGAUCUUUUCAUACUAUAAAAUAUUAAGAACAGCUGCACACAUUCUGAAAAUGAAUCAAUUCUUUUUGCUUUAAUUUAGUAUUGCCUUACUGAAAAUGCCUCUGUCUAUAUUCAUUUACUUGAGAUAGACUUCAGGAGACAUAAAGUGGUGCUACUGAAGAUGUUUGUGAUAACUGUAAGCUAGCUAUAUAUUAGUUUUGCAGCACUGCUCUUUUGCGCAAUAACUUACAAGCUCAGGCUUAAUAAUACAGUCUCCAAAAUAAGCUCUUACAUGUGCUAGGAAUGCCUUAACAGUAACUGUGGCUCUCUUGAUGUGCAGCAGUGAUAUAAUAGUAAUCAUUUUUUAGAUAUCUCUUAUUGUCAAAAUGACUUUAAUCUCGAUUUAUUAGAUAGUUACUGGUUCCUAGAAAGACAAAAUGAUAUCAACAAACCAUUUGUCUUCCAUGCUGGCCUUUAUGGCUGCAGUAGAGAUGUCAGUGAAGCACACAGUUGUUUUUCCAUCCAGAUAUUACACUGAUGUGACAUUGUCUUCUGGUUGAGCUGUUGAGAUAGUUUGCUUCCCAGUACACCUUCAGUCUGGCUGUUGUCUUGCACAAACACUGGACAUUGAACCCAAGGUCUUGCUCAGACAGUUGGUGACUGUGGUAUCAGUCAUACCUGAGGUCUUGCUGAGGCAGAUAGCAACCACAAUACUGGCUGAAACUGGGUCCUUGGAGGAACUGACGGACAGCUGCCUUGCUCAACAGUUGAGGAUCAGUUGAGCAUAUGCUAGAAAAUAUGAUUAUAUGUCAAUCAUCUUGCCCUGUAAAUAUGAAACAGCUCAGAGUGCAUUGAGCUCCUUCCUGAAUGACAGUGGGCUGCAUGACAGGAUUGUCCCUUGAGUAAGGAUGCCUCUGAAGGUUAUGUCUGCUGCAGAGAUCCCUUACACCUUGAUGUCAAGAGAUUCCUUGCUGCCACUAAUCCUUGUCAUGUGACAGAAAAGGAGAGAAGAGAAAGCAAGCAAUUAUUCCUCUGAAAGCUUGCUCUUGACUGACCUGUUGAUGCUGCUUGCCUACACUCUGCAACAAGAUAGAGAGCUGAACUAGUCAUCAUGGAAAGCUCUAGUCUAAAGACAUAUAUAGGUCUUUUUCAAAAAUGUUAUAGCCAACAGUACUACAAUAACUAUUUUAUGUUAAAGUCUAUGUCUGAAAAUUUCUGCCCGUUUCCAGUACUAUUAAGUAGGAGUUAAUCUCUCUCCUCAGAUUUGAAAUCCAUGUGCGAAGAGACUCUUAUGAACUCCUCUAACUGAAGAGACAUUUUUUUUAUUAAUCAGAGAGUGACAUGGGUUGAAAAGGACCACAAUGGUCAUCUAGUUUCAAGAUAAAAACUGUUCGUAGAUAACGAGAGCCCCCGUUUCCUUUUCAACCGUCUGGCUCGUCUCUGUUGCCGGUGCUGUAUCAUUCCAGCUGGAGUGGCGGCCCCUGCCUGCCUGCCUGCCUGCCUCAGCUGGCUGGCUGGAGUUGCAGCCCCUCCCUAUCUGCCUUGGCAGACUGGCUGGAGUCAAGGCCCCUGCCUGCCUGCCUCAGCUGGCUGACUGGAGUCCUAACCCUUGCCUGCCUGCCUCUGUUAGCUGGCUGUCUUGUAUCACAGUUAGUGUUCUGCUGUCAGGAUCCCUGUGUUUACAGCAGUUUUUUGGGAUCUGGCUUGUGAUAGCAUAAGGCCAUGGCACUGUGACCCUAGAAAUGGCCCAGGACAACAAAAACAUGGCUGUGUUGGGUGUGGGGAGGCUAUGGCCUGAGAUUUGCCCUACUUGUCACCAGUGGGAGUCUGCAGGGCUCCAUUUUAAGGCCAUUUCUUUUCAUGUUUAGACUGUCGAUUCCAAUAAAGAUCUGGAGGUUCUAUUAAGUUAAUUUUUGGAUGAUGCUAAGCUGGGAAGAGUGUUGACUCUAUUGAGGGCAGAGAAGCCUUGCACCAAGAUCUGGACAAAUUUGAGGAUGAUCCCCAUCUGCAUGAAGAAGAGCAGGUGCUGGGUUCUGCACCUGGGAUGGGGAGCUCCCGGCUAUAUGUACAGACUGGGGGCGAGGGUCUGGAGAGCAGCCCCACAAAGAGAUCUGGGUGUUCAGCUUGGUGACAACUUGAAUCUGAGCUGGCAGUGUGCCCUGGCAGCCAGAAGGGCCAACUGUACCCUGGGUACACCAGGUCCAGCACUGCCGGUGAAGGAAGUGGUUGUCCCAUUCUGCUCUGUGCAGUGCAGCCGCACCUCCAGCACUGGGUGCAGGUUUGGGUGCUGCUACAUAAGAAGGACAUAAAGCUAUUAGGAAGUCCGAAGGAGGGCUGCAGAGAUGGGGAAGGUUCUGAGGGCGCAGUGUGUGAGGAGUGGCUGCAGCCCCCGGGUUUGCUCAGCCCAGAGCAGAGGAGCUGAUGGGAGGCCUCAUGGUGGCUGCAGCUCCUCACAGGGUGCGGAGGGGCAGCGCUGAGCUCUGCUCUCUGGGGACAGCAACAGGGCCCAAGGGAACGGC